AUUGAACGCUGGCGGCAGGCCUAACACAUGCAAGUCGAACGAGUGGCGGACGGGUGAGUAAUGUCUGGGAAACUGCCUGAUGGAGGGGGAUAACUACUGGAAACGGUAGCUAAUACCGCAUACCAUCAGAUGUGCCCAGAUGGGAUUAGCUAGUGGGUGGGGUAACGGCUCACCAAGGCGACGAUCCCUAGCUGGUCUGAGAGGAUGACCAGCAAAAUUGGAACGGGACAAGGGUCCAGACCCCUCCGGAUGGCAGCAGUGGGGAAUAUUGCACAAUGGGGGCAAGCCUGAUGAAGCAAUGCCGCGUGUAUGAAGAGGGCCUCAGGUUUGUAAAGUACUUUCAGCGGGGAGGCGGUACCCGAAGAAAAAGCAACGGCUAACUACGUGCCAGCAGCCGCGGUAAUAC
rnacentral:rRNA from 1 species